GCUGACUGGGGGACAGCAGCCGGGGUAAGCUGGGGGGGGGUGCGGGUGCCUGGAUUUAUUGGGCGUAACGGGCGCGCAGGGGGGUCGGCACGUCCGUUGUGAAAUCGCCCGGCUCAACUGGGCGGGGUCAGCGGAUACGGUCGGGCUCGAGCAAGCUAGGGGGCAAUGGAAUUCCCGGUGUAGUGGUGGAAUGCGUAGAUAUCGGGAGGAACACCAGUGGCGAAGGCGGUUGCCUGGGGCUUUGCUGACGCUGAUGCGCGAAAGCGUGGGGAGCGAUCCGGAUUAGAUACCCGGGUAGUC
rnacentral:rRNA from 1 species